rnacentral:lncRNA from 1 species
AUGCAACAUUCACAGUCAGAGAAAAGAAAUCCUCCCAUCCUCACUGUUCUCUUUGGUCUUUUCCUCUCCCAGGCACCAGCCCUUUCACCUGAUGGCAGAGCAGCACGGCUGAAAGCUGUAACCUGGGUGAUGUGGAGGGCGACUAGCAGGCAUGCACAGAGAGACAGACAGAAGCUUUCCAGAGGAGGAUGGAGUAGCCAGGGAUGCUCACCUGAGAUCCUCCUCUGUUGCUUGUGAUUAUUGAUAAGACUUGAAUUCAGUUCCACAUGGGCCUGAACAUGCCCCAGUCUGUAGAAACCACAGUUCUGAAGUCCUGAGGGAUCCUCUUCUACAGGUAAGCAAGGCUUCCACACAUAAAGUAGAGAAUACACCCUUUCCCACCCUAGGAAGCCUUGGACUGCACUGCUUAUCCUCCUCGCAAAAGAAAGGAGAGGGCUUCUUUUGGUGGUGGCCUUUUUAUUUUCCUAGCAGCAGCACAGGGCAUAGCCUUUCUCUUAAAGUCAGGUCAUGGUCUUCCUCCUUCUCACACCAGUGCUGGUGGUUUUUGGGGCCCUGGAAUCACAGUGUGGCCAGGGCCUUCUAUCUAUGGACCAUCCGCUGAGCUCCCAGAUGCCACAUUGAUCUUGCCACAAUUUUUCUUUCUACAGUUUGUUCUCAUGUGUCUAGAGACCAAUUUCUCCAUCUUUGUAAAUGUCAGACUCUUGCAGCUUCCUCUUUUUGUUUUUAGCUAUUUGGUUGUUCCAGAAACUCCAGUUGGGGGUUGGCAGAAGAAAUAAAACAAGGAAGCCAGAGUCAUGAGCAGCUCUGAUGAAUUCUCUAGCAGAGGAGAACUCUAACUGUAUCAUCAAAAGAGAGUUGGGGAUUAUCUGUUAUUUUCAUUGUCCUUGCCACUUCAGCCCCUAUUUAUUCAGUUAUAGAAGUACAGGCCUAUUCCUGAACCUCCUGGGUUGAUCCAUUUGGAAAUUGUUUCAUAGAGACAGCUCGAGCUGCAAGACGGGGCUGGGAGCCAGUGGCAGCAUGGAUGCGGGGAGCUUCAGGAUCAGGUUCCGGCAUGGCCUGUGAGGACUGCUGCAGACGCAGCUGAGGCAGCCCGGCUCCAGGCUCGCUGGAGGGGCAGUGUCUGGGGAGAUGCUUCUCUAUAAAAAGCUUAGAGGUCAGUGUGGAGUUUCCUAUUCUUUCCUCUGGCCAUGCUUAGAUUUAGAACAAUACUAGUGUGGAAAGUGCAGCUGCUGUAAAGCCAGUCGUGUUGAUGUGGUUGGGAGCCUAGACCCCGAACCCCACAGUCUGGGCUCAAGCCUUGCUUAAUCACCGCUUGACUUUGGCUCUGUGACCUCUGGUUUCCUCACCUGUAAAAUGAGGACUUUACUGGGUUGCUGUCAGGGGUAAAUGAGGCAACAUACACCAAGUGCUUAGCAAAUGAUAAGCGUUCAGUCAGUGGUACCUUUAUUCUUAGUAUUAUUUGUCGUCGUCACCACCAUCAUCUCAGCCCAGUGCAGGCGAGCUGGGAAGGCAGGCCUCGUAUAGUCCUGAACACGCUCCCCCACAGGGGGCCUCUCAGAGCCUCUGAGCUCCUCACAAAGCCAAGGCACGUUCUUUCUGGAGGUCAGUAGCAUUUAAUAGGAAGGUACUGCCUUGGUGGUCGCUUCCUCUUGAGUGUUGCCAUUGGAGCAGGGUCCAGAGACUCAUUGCAAUUAGCUGCUUCUGGUGGUUGAAGCAGUUCUGAGAGCAGUGCGUGCCCACAGAGGCAGAUUUCAACACGCUGAGUCAUACUGCAGGGUCUGCCGGCAGAGCUGGUCACAAGGCAGGAGGCAGGCAGCAGUCGGGAAGAUGGAUAGACAUGGGGUGAGGUAGAUUUUCUGAGGAAAUUUCAGUGAAUAUCUGUUCAAUGUGUCUGGAUAAAGGAAGGGUGGGCAUGAACAUUUUUUCAACACUUACUCUUUACGUGGCCCCUACUGUUGGGCUUUGAUUUCGUUGAGUUUCCUGCAAACUACCCAGUGGAGACCCUUCCUAAACAGCCGCAGACUCCGUCCUGAGUGGGUCCUUGGGAGAGGUCUCUGACUCCCAGCAGAGGGUGGGAGCUGCUGUGGAAGGGAAAGCCACUUUUGUGGGCCUGGAUUGGGGAGCAAUCCUCCCUCUGCUCCCACAAACACAAGCUGGGUGGAUUUAUGGGAACAGGAGCGAGGAGCAUUUAUUUCUGUCUGAGGUUGAGUAAGGUGUCACAAAAGGCAGUGACUUUAUUUAUUAUCUCACUAUGGGAUGUGAUCUGCUUUCCACAGUUGCUAUGGAUAUUUCGUUGUUUCUGUUAAUACCACCAUGUAUUUGGGCCUAAGAUUUGAGGAUGCCUCUGAAACAAGUUUCUUUGUUAUCUCUGUGCUUGCUCUGUUUUUAAAAUCUGGGAAGAGUGAGGUAAAAGUGAAGUUUUUUUGGUUUUUUGUUUUUUGUUUUUUUCAUGCAAGUAUUCCAGUGAUCCCUCAGGAAUUAUUGGAAAAAAAAAAGCAAUUUUGCAACUAGCAAAUUUCCCAAGGUUAGCAG